GCGCGCGGAGUCACUGGGGCGUCGGGCGCAGUUGGACGAAGAUGGCUGCCGCCGAAGGUCCCGCGGGCGACGGGGAGCCGUGGCAGUCCUGGCUUCCCAACCACGUCGUGUUCCUGCGCCUCCGCGAGGGGCUGAAGAACCAGAGCCCUGCCGAAGCUGAGAAGCCGGCGUCUUCGUCGCCGCCCUCGCCGCCGCCGCCGCCGCCGCUGACGAGGAACCUGGUUUUGGGCCUGGGCGGAGAGCUCUUCCUGUGGGACGGCGACGGCAGCUCCUUCCUGGUGGUCCGUCUGCGGGGCCUCGGCGGCGCGGGCGAGGAGCCCUCCCUGUCCCAGUACCAGAGAUUGCUCUGCAUAAAUCCACCCCUGUUUGAAAUCUAUCAAGUCCUGUUAAGUCCAACACAGCGUCAUAUAGCACUUAUAGGAAUAAAAGGACUCAUGGUGUUAGAACUGCCUAAAAGAUGGGGGAAGAAUUCUGAAUUUGAAGGUGGAAAAUCAACAGUGAACUGUAGUACCACUCCCGUUGCUGAGAGAUUUUUCACCAGUUCUCCGUCUCUGACUCUGAAGCACGCUGCCUGGUACCCCAGUGAGCUGCUGGACCCCCACAUCGUGCUGUUGACAUCAGAUAAUGUGAUAAGGAUUUACUCCCUGCGCGAGCCUCAGACCCCCGCCAGGGUCAUCGUGCUUUCAGAAACGGAAGAGGAGAGCCUAGUACUCAAUAAAGGGCCGGUUUCUAAAUGUCUUUUCAGGAGGGCGUAUACCGCGUCCCUGGGGGAGACAGCAGUCGCAUUUGACUUUGGGCCAGUGUCCGCGGUCCCGAAGAGCAUGUUCGGGCAGAAGGGCAAAGGGGACGUUGUGGCACACCCGCUGUACAUCCUGUAUGAGAACGGGGAGACCUUCCUCACGUACGUCAGCCUGGCGCACAGCCCCGGGAGCGUGGGGAAGCUGCUGGGCCCCCUGCCCAUGCACCCCGCAGCGGAAGAUAACUACGGCUACGACGCGUGUGCCAUCCUCUGCCUGCCCUGCGUGCCCAACAUCCUGGCGAUCGCCACCGAGUCGGGAGUGCUGUAUCACUGCGUCGUGCUGGAAGGGGAGGAGGAGGACGACCAAACAUCGGAGAAGUCCUGGGACUCCAGGGCCGACUUCAUCCCCUCUCUGUACGUGUUCGAGUGUGUGGAGCUGGAGCUCGCCCUGACGCUCGCCGCCGGGGACGACGACCCCUUCGAUUCUGACUUUGCUUGUCCGAUCAGACUGCACAGAGAUCCCAAGUGUCCCUCAAGAUACCACUGCACUCACGAAGCCGGCGUGCACAGCGUUGGGCUCACGUGGAUUCAUAAACUUCAGAAGUUUCUUGGGUCAGAUGAGGAAGAUAAGGACAGCUUGCAGGAGCUCGCCGCCGAGCAGAAGUGCUUCGUGGAGCACAUCCUGUGCACGAAGCCGCUGCCCUGCAGGCAGCCGGCGCCCAUCCAAGGGUUCUGGAUCGUCCCCGACAUCCUGGGGCCCACGAUGGUCUGCGUCACCAGCACCUACGAGUGCCUCAUAAGGCCCUUGUUAAGCACGGUCCACCCGGCGUCUCCUCCCCUGCUUUGUACCCGAGAAGACGUGGCGGCGGCAGAGUCUCCCCUCCGCAUUCUGGCCGAAACCCCGGAUUCCUUCGAAAAGCACAUUAGAAGCAUUUUGCAGCGUAGCGUUGCGAAUCCCGCCUUUCUGAAGUCAUCUGACAAGGACGCAGCGCCCGCCCCGGAGGACUGUCUGCAGCUGCUCAGCAGGGCCACGCAGGUGUUCCGAGAGCAGUACGUCCUGAAGCAGGACCUGGCCAAGGAGGAGAUCCAGCGCAGGGUCAGGUUAUUAUGUGACCAAAAGAAGAAACAACUGGAAGACCUCAGUUACUGCCGCGAGGAGAGGAAGUGUCUGCGGGAAAUGGCGGAGCGCUUGGCUGACAAAUACGAGGAAGCCAAGGAGAAACAGGAGGAUCUCAUGAACAGGAUGAAGAUGGUGCUGCACAGGUUCCACACCCAGCUCCCCGUCCUGUCCGACAGCGAGAGGGACAUGAAGAGGGAGCUGCAGCUGAUUCCCGAGCAGCUGCGCCACCUGGGCAACGCCAUCAAGCAGGUCACCAUGAAGAAGGACUAUCAGCAGCGGAAGAUGGAGAAGGUGCUGAGCCCGCAGAGACCCGCCAUCGCCCUCAGCGCCUACCAGCGCAAGUGCAUCCAGUCCGUCCUGAAGGAGGAGGGCGAGCGCAUAAGAGAGAUGGUGCAGCAGAUCAACGACAUCCGAAACCAUGUCAGCUUCUGAGCGCGGGAGCAGGUCCCCACGAGCGGACGGCGCAGGCUCGAACAGCUGGCGUCACCUAAGCUACAGGCGUUGCCGAGGAACUUGAUGCUGUAGCGGCGCCAGGACCGUGGCGGACAGAACCCGGACUGAGCGGAGGCGGCCACGCGGCGUGUGAGGGAGCAGCUGUUUAACACCAGCGCUUUCCUACGGACACGUGUCCAGUCCGAUCACACGGUCACCACUGCGGCCGCCCAGAGCCGGGCGCAGGGGCCACCCUUCGGAGCAGCGCCGGGCCGUGCACGGUCCCCGUCAGGUACCGGGUGGGUCGGACCUCGGGAGAGAAGCCUCGCCGGGCGCGGGUUUGUCAGGUGGCGCCAGUCGGGUCUCGUUCCUGCCGGUGUGAGCUCUGGAAGGUGGACACAGCAGAGUGACCGCCACGGAAGAGCCAGGAGGGAAGGGAGGUUCCAGGUGUGAGGGCGGGUCAGACGUGUGAGCACGGACACUCGGGGAACCCGGCUGACCUGUCCUUUGUCUGCGGGGGCUGAAUCCCACCUCCUCGGCCACUUCCUGUUGCACAUACGACCCGGUUUCAAGCAGUGCGUCCUCCACGGGCAGCUUGACCGCUGCCACACCAGAAAGACCGAGCAGAACCUGGAGUCUGUGUUCGGGUUUCUCUAGGUGGUUCUCAGCUGGGUUCCCCCAGUUCGCCUCCGCCACGCGUAGACUGCCGUUAGUCCCCGAGGAGGUCUGGGAGGUGCUGGCGUUCCCUGGGAGCCGGACGGAGGCCGUCCGCAAGGUCAUGAUGCAGCCGCAUCCUCUGACAUUCGCCCGCGGCUCAGCCAUGU